GGGGGCGACAGGUUUCGACGUGGAGCCUGAAAGCAACGGUUGCAGGUCGAGUUGCUCAGACUCGUAAAACGGGGCAAAAACACAAUUGCCAACACUUACCAGGCUCCCCUGGCUCUGGCUGCUUAAUUAGCAACCAUGCUCUUUGCAAUUUUGUCCGUCGGGCUGCAUUGAGUAUCACUUUAGACGGAUGUUACCAGAGCGGUUCGUUCGCCCCGACUUCGGUAACGGCAUAAAUGCGGACUCGGUGCCCGUUUUCCCGUCGUUGUGUCGGGGACGUGUACCUAAACUAAAACACAACUAAACCUGUAGAUACUGUUGUCGUUCACUUUGCGGACCAGAGUUCAAUUCUCUGCGCCUCCAUUC
rnacentral:tmRNA from 1 species